CCUACGGGAGGCAGCAGUCGAGAAUCAUUCACAAUGGGGGAAACCCUGAUGGUGCGACGCCGCGUGGGGGAAUGAAGGUCUUCGGAUUGUAAACCCCUGUCAUAUGGGAGCAAAUUAAAAAGAUAGUACCACAAGAGGAAGAGACGGCUAACUCUGUGCCAGCAGCCGCGGUAAUACAGAGGUCUCAAGCGUUGUUCGGAAUCACUGGGCGUAAAGCGGGCGUAGGCUGUUUCGUAAGUCGUGUGUGAAAGGCGCGGGCUCAACCAGCGGACGGCACAUGAUACUGCGAGACUAGGGUAAUGGAGGGGGAAGCGGAAUUCUCGGUGUAGGAGUGAAAUGCGUAGAUAUCGAGAGGAACACUCGUGGCGAAGGCGGGUUACUGGACAUUAACUGACGCUGAUGCACGAAGGCCAGGGGAGCGAAAGGGAUUAGAUACCCGAGUAGUC
rnacentral:rRNA from 1 species